rnacentral:rRNA from 1 species
UGGGGACUAGUAUCAACGGCAUCACGAAGACUACACUGUCUCCCCCCUAAAAUCAAUGAAACUAAUCCCCUCGUGAAGAAGCGAGGAUACAAAUAUAAGACGAGAAGACCCCAUGGAGCUUUAAACAAACCUCAACUGCUCCCUCCCUAAUCAUAGAAAUUGAGCAUUAAUGACGGGUAGUUUUCGGUUGGGGUGACCGCGGAGUAAAACAAAACCUCCACAAUGAAUGUAACAAAAUACUAAUAAAAGAACCACAAUUCUAACAAUCAAAAAAUUGACAUAUUUGACCCAAACACUUGAUCAAUGAACCAAGUUACCCUGGGGAUAACAGCGCAAUCCAUUUUAAGAGCCCUUAUCGACAAAUGGGUUUACGACCUCGAUGUUGGAUCAGGGUAUCCUAGUGGUGCAGCCGCUACUAAUGGUUCGUUUGUUCAACGAUUAAAACCCUACGUGAUCUG